AGAGAGAUGGCCCAGUGGUUCAAGGCGUAACAUUGGAACUGCUAGGUAGGCUUUUGUUUACCGAGGGUUCGAAUCCCUCUCUUUUCG
rnacentral:tRNA from 1 species